CCUACGGGGGGCAGCAGUGGGGAAUAUUGGGCAAUGGGCGCAAGCCUGACCCAGCAACGCCGCGUGAAGGAUGAAGGUUUUCGGAUUGUAAACUUCUGUCGCGAGGGACGAAGAAUGACGGUACCUCGUAAGAAAGCCCCGGCUAACUACGUGCCAGCAGCCGCGGUAAUACGUAGGGGGCAAGCGUUGUCCGGAAUGACUGGGCGUAAAGGGAGUGUAGGCGGCUUAUCAAGUUAGAUGUGAAAUCCCGCGGCUUAACCGCGGAACUGCAUCUAAAACUGGUGAGCUGGAGUGCAGGAGAGGUG
rnacentral:rRNA from 1 species